GGACAAUGGGCGCAAGCCUGAUCCAGCAAUGCCGCGUGCGGGAUGAAGGCCUUCGGGUUGUAAACUGCUUUUGUACGGAGCGAAACGGCUUCCCCUAAUACGGGGAGCUAAUGACGGUACCGUAAGAAUAAGCACCGGCUAACUACGUGCCAGCAGCCGCGGUAAUACGUAGGGUGCGAGCGUUAAUCGGAAUUACUGGGCGUAAAGCGUGCGCAGGCGGUUAUAUAAGACAGAUGUGAAAUCCCCGGGCUCAACCUGGGACCUGCAUUUGUGACUGUAUAGCUAGAGUACGGUAGAGGGGGAUGGAAUUCCGCGUGUAGCAGUGAAAUGCGUAGAUAUGCGGAGGAACACCGAUGGCGAAGGCAAUCCCCUGGACCUGUACUGACGCUCAUGCUACGAAAGCGUGGGGAGCAAA
rnacentral:rRNA from 1 species